rnacentral:rRNA from 1 species
AACGAACGCUGGCGGCAUGCCUAACACAUGCAAGUCGAACGAGACCUUCGGGUCUAGUGGCGCACGGGUGCGUAACGCGUGGGAACCUGCCCUUAGGUUCGGAAUAACUCCCCGAAAGGGGUGCUAAUACCGGAUAAUGUCUUCGGACCAAAGAUUUAUCGCCUUUGGAUGGGCCCGCGUUGGAUUAGCUAGUUGGUAGGGUAAAAGCCUACCAAGGCGACGAUCCAUAGCUGGUCUGAGAGGAUGAUCAGCCACACUUGGACUGAGAAACGGCCCAGACUCCUACGGGAGGCAGCAGUGGGGAAUAUUGGACAAUGGGCGAAAGCCUGAUCCAGCAAUGCCGCGUGAGUGAUGAAGGCCUUAGGGUUGUAAAGCUCUUUUACCCGGGAUGAUAAUGACAGUACCGGGAGAAUAAGCUCCGGCUAACUCCGUG